CGACCAUGACUACCCCCUGCCCACGACCAAGACUACCCCCAUGCCCACGACCAUGACUACCCCCAUGCCCACAACCAAGAAAGCUCAACUGAAGAGACAGGUGGUGAGAGUGAAGAUGACCCCAAAGGAUCAAAAUCUGAACCUCAGAGAUCUUGCUGUUCAGGACGACAUCUUACAAGAGCGUUGGACUUUACAGAAUGCUGAAACCCCCAAAUGAAGCAUCUCUGAGUGCUGGCUUUCUGGUUAGUGGUGGCGUCGUGUCCGGGGGCUGCCACCGAUGGAACCGGGGGUGCCUAAGCCAGUUCGUC
ensembl:lncRNA